GAUUAAAAAAACCGUGGCCCAUCCAGACGAUGGGACAUUUUCAGUGCUAAAAAGAGAUGAGCUACAAGCCAUGAAUAGACAUGGAGGAAUUUCAAAUGCAUUAUUUCUAGGUGAAAGAAGCCAAUCUGAAAAGACCACAUGCUGCGUGGUUCCAACUCUAUGGCGUUCUGGAAAAAGUGCAGCAACGUACACAGUAAAAGGCUCAGUGUUUGCCAGGGUUUAUGGGAACCGAUGAGUAGGUGGAACACGAUUUUCAGAGUAGUGACAAUAUUCUGUAGGAUAUCAUAAUGAUGGAUCCAUGUCCACACAUCCUUCUACAAUUGUCCAGACCCGUAGAAUGUGCAACACCCAAGAGUGAACCCUAAUGUCAGCUGUGGGCUCUGGGUGAUGAUAGUGUGUCAUGUGGGUUCAACAGUUGUGGCAAAUACACCCUCUGGUGGGGGCUGUUGAUGGGGUGCCGUGCAUGUGUUGGGGGAAAGGGUAUAGGGGAAAUCUCUGUCCCUUCCCAAUUUGGCGGUGACCCUAACACUGCUCUAAAAAAGUAAAGUGCUAAUAAGAAACUUUCCCCAUGCCAAGUGCACAGACUUGCUCCCCUUCAAAGCCUGAGGUGCCCGGGAAUAAGCUGAGGGCCCCUGAAAACCCAGCCAGCCCUCCAUUUCUGACUUGUGUGUCUAAACCCAAGGUCAAAGAGCACUCAUUCGAGAGUCCCAGCUCCCCAUCCCCGGGCAGUGUCUAGGGGUGACCCUGUUUCCCAGGGGGCACUGUGGGUGGCCUGUGUGACCAGAUCUUAGGCUCAGCCAUGUGGGAGGCGUUGCAGAGGGACACAGCCCUCCUGGCCUCCUGCUGAGGCCCCCCAACCUCCAGCAAGUUGGAUGCUCCCAUGUCCACGUCCUGCUGGGCCAGACCGGGCAGUGGACAUCUUGUCCCGUGGCUGCGGAGGGAGCCCGCGGUGAGCCUGGCGGCCCACACGGGUGGCCCAGUCACCAGGUGCCAACACGGAGCCCUUCGUCUCUGUUUGCAGGCUGGCGGUGAUAAGCAUAAGCAAACAUCCUGCGGACCACGCAGGCUGGAGGGCUGUGGCUCCAGGGGGCAAAGGUGCCCCAGGGACCCUUCCCGUGCGGAAGCCAAGCCCGAGCCUGGAGAAGCGUGGGCCAGAGGUGGGAAGGGAUGUGGCCGCCGCGAGGCCUCCCUCCGCAGUCUCCUCAGACUCUGCCCGCCUGCCUGGGAGGCCCGAGGCUGCCAGGCCUGUGGACGUUUGUGCAGCCUGCCCAGGGGGCCGACAGCCAGGCAGGGGCUGGCCUGUGGGUGUCUGGCCCAGCUGGACGUUGGCUGCCUUCCUCCUGCCGGCCCUGGCGCUCAGCCCACAGCUGGCGCGACGCUGAGACCUUUCCCCCACUUCCAGCUCGGGCUCCAGAUGAUUCCAGGCCCCUAAAGUUUACAGAAGUCACAUGUGCCUGGCAAGGGCUUCCCAGGCCAUUCCCUGCCUCCUCUCUGCUUGCUUGGGCCUGAAGGCCACACAAGCAAGCAGGGAAGGGAACUCUGGCCCCUGAGGAGGUGCGUCGCAGGCCUGCAGGGCUGAGGCGGGCUGGAGCAGGACGAGGGGCCACCCUCUGGGCUCUAAGGCCCCCAGCACAGCUCCAGAUCAGCACAGCACCUGCCCUGUCCACGGUCGGGCACCUUCCCAAGCCCUGAGUGCUGCUGGAGGGCAUUAGUCCUGUGGGCGGGCCUCACUGACCCACUUCCUCUCAGCUGCCUACACGGUGGGCCAGUCAUCAUGGGACCCUCCUUGUGUCCCCAGCCUCUGUUGUCUGCUUCUAAUUCCCUGGACCUUGAGAACCACAGGCCCAGCUGUUGGUGCUCCCUGCUGCGUCACUGUCCCACGGGGUUCCCCGAUCUCUCACAGCCCAGACACCAUCCUCAAGACACAGAGUGACAACAGUGGGGGACAGCAGGGCCCAGAGAGGAAUGCAGGUCUUCCCGCUCCAGAGCCCAAGGCCCAGAUGGAGAAACUGAGGCACAGAGCAGCUCCCUGGUUGGAGAGGGAAUGUAAAGGAGACCGUCGUGGCUACCCCUCCCCGCCCAGCCUCUCAGGGAACCCCAUCUCGAUGGAAGCCUGCAGAUGCUCCCCCCAGCCCCGACUCCCUCUAGCCUGCUGUCUUGUCAGACCUGGCAACAGAACUGUCCCAGCUGCUUGGGGAUUGCAGGACAGGGGCACCCGGAGUCAAGCCAGUGCUCUGGAAAAAUCCUGGGAGCCGGAUGCUGCCCUGUGACGGGUGGUCACCAUGCCUUUCCUGAGCUGCCGUUUUUGCAGUUUGAGAACGGAGUAGUGAUGAAACCCAGCUCCUGGCUCGUGUGAGGACGAAGAUGGUGCAUAUAAGGUGCUGAGCCCGGUGUGAGCGCUCAGUGUGCUCAAUGAUAUUAGAACUUCCCGGCACAGAGUGUCUGCCCUCCACCUUCUAUUAAGAAACAGCAGUUCCGAAAAUACAAACAGACAAAACAAAAAA